AACUGUAUAGAAGUAAAGGUAUUUUAAACUUUAAAUUAGCCAUUCCAAUGAACUGUCAAACAUGGCCGGCGUAGGGCAAAACUGUCAUGGCGUAUCUAAUGUUUACAUUGGAUAUUGACAUUUAAUUUUUAAAGAAUAUACUGUUUGGUUUUGUUUUUUGUUAAUUGUGUAGCGAAAUCUGCGAAAUUGUGAUGGCAAAUUAAAUAUGAAGUGGUUUAUCGCCUACAGAACUGAAUUAUCCCAUAGUAGUUAUCAGUUUGUGUCAAUUUGUUUAAAAAGACCCUACUCCCAAGGCUUUACAUUUUCAUUAAUUCCCCAUGCAAUACAUUUAAAUGAAUUGUUCAAACAAAGGCGAGAACAAUGGAUAAAAGCCAUAAGGAGAACAGAUCUAACAGAACUAAAAUUAAAAUAAAGUGGAAAGCCAGCCACUUUAGAGGACAUAAAUAAUGAAGAUUUGAUUCAAAACCAAAACAUGGGUUGCGAAAGCCAGACAAUAAAAAGAAAAGGUGAUCUACAAUCCGGAGAGCUGAUAAAAGAAGUAAAUAUAAAGAAAAUAAUGCUGAGACUUCUCUCGAUGAUGAACCAACACCAGAUAGUUUAAAUGUAGGGUAAGGAGUAACUGCUGGAACUCCAACACAAACGUGUUUGACUAGUGAAGAUUUGGAUAAACAACAGGAGUUACAGCUCCCGGAGCGAACCGUGUCCCGUGAGAGAAACCCUGUCUGUGUAAACAUUAGGUGAGUGGUUCGCUCCGGGAGCUGUACUUUCAUUUUCCAAAGAAAUACUUAAUAAUCUAUCAAAUAGAUGUAGCAAAGUAAAGUUAUGUGAUAAUUCUUUAAAAGAUGACAAUAAAAAGUGUCUUUAUUAUAAAGGUUUAGAGUUCCCUAUUUUAAAUGUAGUUUUUAAUAAAAUCAAGCAACAUAUAACAUAUACCAACUAGUUCUAUAUCUGCUUUGGAACUAUGUCAACAGUAUUUGUUAAGAUCAAUUAAAUUACAACUAAACCUUCCAUUUAAAGAUAUUGCAUAUCGUUUUGGAAUAUUGAAUAGCAUCUGUUCUUCAUAUUUUAAUACAGUCAUUUCAAUAUUACAUCAAAAAUUAAAAACAUUAAUAAUCUUGCCAGAACAAGAAGUAGCACAGAAAACAGUCCUUGUUUUAAAGAGGUUUUCAGGAUAAAACAUCAGAAAUAAUAAUUGAUCAUUGAGAAACCAUCAAACUAUUUAACACAACAACAGUGCUGGUCAAAUUAUUAUAUUUAUCUUUGUUAUACGUUAUACAUAAUUAAUUAUUUUUCUGAUGUUCUUUAGUUACUAGUUUUAUAAAUAUUUGUGUCAUUUCAAUAAAAAUUACAGUGGAAC